rnacentral:rRNA from 1 species
CAAGGAAUAUUGGUCAAUGGACGCAAGUCUGAUCCAGCCAUGCCGCGUGAAGGAUGAAUGCCCUCUGGGUUGUAAACUUCUUUUAUAGGGGAAGAAAGAUACUUUUUUUAAGGUAGUUGACGGUACCCUAUGAAUAAGCACCGGCUAACUCCGUGCCAGCAGCCGCGGUAAUACGGAGGGUGCAAGCGUUAUCCGGAUUUACUGGGUUUAAAGGGUGCGUAGGCGGGCAUGUAAGUCAGUGGUGAAAUACCGGAGCUUAACUUCGGAACUGCCAUUGAUACUAUAUGUCUUGAAUAUUGUGGAGGUAAGCGGAAUAUGUCAUGUAGCGGUGAAAUGCAUAGAUAUGACAUAGAACACCGAUUGCGGAGGCAGCUUGCUACGCAAAUAUUGACGCUGAGGCACGAAAGCGUGGGGAUCAAACA